GGUUAGUAUAGACGUACCCUCUUGAGAGAUUAUGGGCCUGUGUCUUAUUAGCUACCUCCUAGCUAAAACUUACCAGUGAGGGAUCAGGUGGUUAUAAAUCAGCAACUCGCUUUAGGUGGACAGAGAGCUACAGGAAGAUUAUUGAUAAAAAUGGGCAGAAAACUGGUCCCUGUGGCAUAGAUUCAGCAAAUCUGGACCGAUGAGUAUGUUUCACAAGGCUGGAGAGAAUCCAUCCAGCUACAGGAAGAAGGCAAUAAAACUAAGAACCACAAAAGCAUACAAUCUCUCUCCUCAGUAUUUCCUGCUAUACCACUGAGCCAACCCAUCAAGGAAUGCUUUGAGAUGCCAACUCAUCACUCCACUGCUGCC